CAGUGUUAACAGCUUUUUUAGAAUUUGUCUAGCAGGCUUUUCAGUUUUUGCCAGAAAGCCCCUUAA
rnacentral:snRNA from 1 species